rfam:Oryza sativa (indica cultivar-group) chromosome 9, whole genome shotgun sequence.
AAAAAGAUAAACCCUAGUUUCUGUGUCCAAUGUUUAACCGUUCGUCUUAUUUAAAAAAAAAUAUAAAAAAAAUUAAAAAAACAAAUCAUGCAUAAAAUAUUUAUUAUGUUUUAUCAUCUAAUAACAAUAAAAAUACGAAUUAUAAAAAAAUUUCAUAUAAGACGGACAGUCAAAGUUAGACACGGAAACCCAGGGUUUGUCUUUUU